rnacentral:rRNA from 1 species
AAUAGAUACCCCGGUAGUCCACGCCGUAAACGAUGAGUGCUAAGUGUUAGGGGGUUUCCGCCCCUUAGUGCUGCAGCUAACGCAUUAAGCACUCCGCCUGGGGAGUACGGUCGCAAGACUGAAACUCAAAGGAAUUGACGGGGGCCCGCACAAGCGGUGGAGCAUGUGGUUUAAUUCGAAGCAACGCGAAGAACCUUACCAGGUCUCGACAUCCCGCUGACCGCUAUGGAGACAUAGCUUUCCCUUCGGGGACAGCGGUGACAGGUGGUGCAUGGUUGUCGUCAGCUCGUGUCGUGAGAUGUUGGGUUAAGUCCCGCAACGAGCGCAACCCUUGUUCUUAGUUGCCAUCAUUCAGUUGGGCACUCUAAGGAGACUGCCGGUGAUAAACCGGAGGAAGGUGGGGAUGACGUCAAAUCAUCAUGCCCCUUAUGACCUGGGCUACACACGUGCUACAAUGGACGGUACAAACGGUCGCGAAGUCGCGAGACGGAGCCAAUCCGAGAAAACCGUUCUCAGUUCGGAUUGUAGG